rnacentral:lncRNA from 1 species
CUAGGAGAUUGGAUAUAGUCCCACAACUUAUAGAUAUUGCACAUACAUAUGUGAAUAUGUUUCAAGGUAAUCUGAUAAAAGCAAAGGACAGCUUGAAGUGCUCUAGAUGGUCCAUUUGAGGAUGGGGAUCAGAGGAGGUUUUAGGAAGAGGUAAAGAAAGGUCCAAACAUCCUACUCCCCUAUUCCAUAAACUCUCAUGUUUGGCAUUCAACGUUCUUCAUAAUCUAGUCACCUCUUAAUUUUCAAGUUUUCUUAUACCUUACUUUCUGCCACUUACUCUAUAAUCCAGUGACUCUGGCCUCCCCUGACUGUUCUAGGAACAAGACAUUCCUUCUCAUAGCUCAAGUUAUUCUCUCUGGCUGCCCCCUAUGCCUAAAACACUCUCCCUUCUCUGCUCUGACUGCUGACCUCUCCAAUUCCCUUUAAGUUCCAACUGCCUCUUUUAAUUCCAGUGCUUUCCUGUAUAAUUUCCAAUUUAUCCUGUAUAUAGAUGCUUUGAAUAUACUUGUUUGCCUUUUGUCUACUGUAGUAAGGGAUUUCUAGCAGGGCAUAACAAGACAGGCUGACAGCAUGGGAUGUUGCAAAACCAAGAUUCCACAGAGCAAGGACUGGGUCAAUAUUCUAAGCACUGGGUAGCUGAGAGGCAGUUGGGGACUGACAGUUGGGAACUGUCCCCUGGAAGAAGACAGAGAAGUAGUUCCAAAACAUGAAGGAGACCCAGUCAUUUCACAGUUCUCUAUGUUGAAAUGAGGAUCACAACAAUUUCAUUAGAGACACAGUGUAACCCAGCACCAUCCCAUCUGCUUCUUAGAUUUAAAAGAAUCUUCUCACCACCGGAAGAGAUCUCGGAGGCUCUCCAGUGUAAGGAAGUCUACAUCCAGUCUCUUGAGAUGUCAUGCAGACUCCAGUAACUCUUAAGCUGGCUGUGACUAGAGAGGCUGCUACAGGGACUUGAAACUGCUUGGUGGUAAUGGAGGUAGAACAGAGAAAUGCUGAGGGAUGCCACACACAGAGAGACGCUGGUAACAGGGGACACUGUUUAUAAAGGACUGCUCUGGGGUUUACGCCAGGAUUUUCCUACGGAUUGUUGAUGGAUCAAUCUACUUCCUAACCCUCUUCCUCCAUCCCUCCCUCCCUUGCCUCCCUUACCUCCCCAAUCUUCUUUGAAGCCUUUGCUUCUUCCCUCCCUCCUGAGUGAACUAUAAAGAUACUCUAGUUGCUUUUUUGGUUAAGAGGUUUAUUGGGAUAACAGGAUGGGAAACUGAGG